GUGCCAGCAGCCGCGGUAACACGUAUGGGGCGAGCGUUGUUCGGAAUUACUGGGCAUAAAGGGCGUGUAGGCGGUUCGGUAAGCCUGGCGUGAAAGUCCUCGGCUCAACCGGGGGAUGGCGCUGGGAACUGCGGGACUGGAGUUUUGGAGGGGGAGCUGGAAUUCCUGGUGUAGGGGUGAAAUCUGUAGAGAUCAGGAAGAACACCGGUGGCGAAGGCGAGCUCCUGGCCAAUGACUGACGCUGAGGCGCGAAAGCGUGGGGAGCAAACAGGAUUAGAUACCCUGGUAGUCCACGCUGUAAACGAUGUGCACUAGGUGUUGGUGCCAUACGGGCAUCGGUGCCGUAGCUAAGGCGCUAAGUGCACCGCCUGGGGAGUAUGCUUGCAAGGGUGAAACUUAAAUGAAUUGACGGGG
rnacentral:rRNA from 1 species